GCCAGCCGGUUGCCACAGUCUCACCUUUGACCCAGUCCUCAGAAGGCAGCUGGAGCAGUGGGAGGUAUGACUGCUGUUCAGACUGCCCCAUGUGUAAGUAAACGUCUGGCUGUAUUUUAGCCUGUGGAGAUCAAUUUUAUAUAAGAUGGAAGAAAGCUGCUGUGGGCUAUUGUAGACUGACUCCCCUCCUUAACGUAUUUCCCAGAUGAUUCCCAAUGUUGCUUCCAGGUUAAUGUGUUUAAAACUUGCCACCUGUUACAAUGCAGACCUGCAGCCGUUGUACCUCAAGGCUCUUUGUGAAGAGAAGCUAAGUUGUGGGGUUCUUUAGAUUCGGAAUGCAUGGAAAGCCAUGCCCAUCACCUUGAGUUCCUUGGAGAAAAAGGUGGAAUAGAAAUGCAAUAAAAAAAUUAACAAUUGAGGGGAUUCAUGAAGCAAUUGCAAAAUACAGAAAACAUUUUGCUUGCAGAUGUUGAGAUGCCCAGUUCCUUACGCUGUGCCCAAGAGAACUUUUACCAUUUUCUUUGAGUGGCAGAAUCCCUACUAUACCUGACAACUGCCUUUGGAAGCCUUUGCCUUAUGGCAUGGAGGGAGGGGGUUCUCAAGAAGUACAAGACCAGUGCCCCCUUAGUGCUCAGAUCUAGUUCCAUGGGUCUUUGGAUCCAGGGCAACCUCAGUGUAGGUCUUGGAGUGACCCUUUAUUUAUGUGGCUGCUUUGGUUUGCAGGAGCGUGGGAUGUUCGGUUCCUGUACCCAAAUCUAACAGCAUAAAAAUGUGUGAUAUUCUUUUAAAAUCAAGAGAUGUUCAGCUUGCUGUUUUCUUCCUUCACUUGGCUUUCACAGACAGUUAUUCUCUCCUUAAUUUUAAGGACUAUUAAAGUUUAUGUUUGUGAACUGGUCUGAGUGUUUGUGUGCACACCUGCUGUCUAACCCUUAACCAUGAAGGAACCGCACAGGGGACGAUCUGUGCAAAAAGUAUAGUUAGCAGGAAUUAUAUUUUAAGAAGGGCAGGGUUAGGGUUAUUGAUUCCCUUUCAUUGAUGUUUACCUCCUCACCUGUGUGUUUCAUUUGGGCAGGUUGUGUUGGGCUUCUCUGCCCGGCAAUCCUGGCCUGUUACGUGUCACGCAAAUACGGGGAGAACUGUUGCCUCGGACUGGUGCCUGGCGGCUUGACAGCACUGCGGACUCACAUGCGGCUCUCCUAUGGCAUUCCGGUAACACUUUCCUCCAUCACAUUUUGUGGUGUUGUACAGUCUGUUCCCCCAGUAGAUGUGCUCUUACUCAUUGAUCAGCAGGGGUCUGGAGAGUGAAAGAAACAGAUGAAAUGUGCAUCAUCCAAGAAAUGAUUUAUUUCUACACAACUUGUUUGUAGUCCUCUACAGCAGGGGAGUGGUGAGUUCCUGAGAUAAAUGCAACCCUCUAUGGGACAGAGUGAUGCCUGGGACAAUUAGUUGCUUGCUGGCCUUUGCUGUCACCUUCCCUCUCUUCCCUUGGAUGCAAGGGCAUUGCCAGGUUCUUAAAAGACUCAGGGCACAAAUUUGGGCAAAUUGAGAUGGUGGGUGGGUGGGUUUAAACCACGCUGCACUUAGUAGUGUGCCCAGCUACCCUUUAAGCCAGAGGUGGGGCCGCUGCGGCCAGGGCCAUCUUACCCAUUAGGUUUAGUGGCACCCUGUGCCACGGCACCAGCCCAUCAGGGGCACCCAGCAGCGGGAGUCCGGGACCGACCGGGAACAGCUCCGAGGGCAUGCUGAGCGGUGGCGGCUCUUCCUACGGCCAGCUGCACUCUCUCGCUUCCUGCCUGGGAGAGGAGGCAGCGGUGGUGGUGCACAAAGCUACACGGCACCCUUCUCCCUCCUGCCCGCCCCAUGGCAGUAGCAGGACUGCUGAGGAAGCCCGCGUGGCAAGCGACCCUGAGCUGCCCAGCGCAGGGGGCCAGGAGGGGGAGGGGUGCUGAUAAUGUCAGCCCCCUACCCCUUCCUUCGAGGAAAAAGGUGGAUGGAUUCAUUCAGAUUUGGGGCGGUGGGGGGAGAAAGCUGGGGGGGGCGCACUUCCAUUAGGACUCAGUUCGGAGGUAAGGAUGGACCUGAGAGUGUGCUCUCCAUGCAGUUAGUGGUUAAAAACAAACAAACACCAACAAAAAGUCCUUUAAAGAGGGGGGCAGGUUUUAAGGUCCUAAUAGAUUCAGCAGGGCUUACUCUCAGGUAAGUGCAGUUAGGGCUGACCCAAGUUUAGGGUCCUUUUUAGGUUCAGGAUGUCAUUGCUUUACACCCACCCCCACCCCACCCACCCCCCACAAUAUUUGAAAACUUCGGUUUUGUACUUAAACACAAAUUGGCCAGGAACUUCAUUCUCUGUGUCUUUAUCAAUUUAUUUAAAGAACAACAAACUGGUGAUUGCUUUGACUUUUUGAUAUGUGGUGAUUUGAAUCAUGAGGAUGAAUUAGCAGAACUGCUGAGUCUUGAAUGAGUCUUGCUUUGGAAUUGAGGACUUCAUUAGAUUUUCUUCUGCCUUUCCAUUUUAUUUUGUUCCAAGGGCUUGUUAGAGAUAAUGUGUAAGCAUGGUGUCAGCUCCCUAAAAAAAAACGGUCAACAACUCUGGGGUCCCCCCCCUUAAAAAAGGUUGACAACUCUGGGAAACGGGGGGGGGGGCAGAGGGAUCUUUGCACCACAGCGCCAGAUAUGCUUAAGACAGCCCUGGCUGUGGCCCUCCAGAUGUUGUUGGACUCCAACUCCCAUCAGACCCAGUCAGCAUAGCAAGUGGUUAGGGAUAAAGAGAGUUGUUGCGGAACAACUUAUGGAGGGCAACAUGUUCCCACCCUUGUGGUAAACAAUGCUUUCUUUAAAAAUGAAAGAUUUAAAUAAGCGGGGUGGGGGGAGGCCAAAGAGAAAGGACCUGGGACUCAGGGAGGGGCCACCCCUUAAUAUCCUCUGUCAAGGGCAGAUAGCAGCAAAGAGGCAUCAUGCAAAUGAGGGAUUACUCCUCUGUUUUGCAAACUCUCUGUCUCUUAGGAACAUAGGAAGCUGCCUUAUACUGAGUCUGACCAUUGGGUCCAUCUAGCUUAGUACUGUCUACACUGACUGGCAGCUGCUGUACAGGGCUUCAGGAUGAAGACAUUCCCAGCCCUACCUGGAGUUGCUGGGGAUUGAACCUGGAACUUUUGCAUGCAAAGAAGAUGCUCUAACACUGAGUUUCACUGCUUCUCCUCUCCCCAAAUCCUCUACCUUUAUCAGAGCUGGCUGGGAGAGGAAUGAAUAAUCUUAUGGGGCAAGGCAUCAAGGAGGAAAAAAAGCUAAUGCUGAUGCUAUUCUAGGCUGCUUCAACAGAUGUUUUUAAGCAGAGGUUGGAUGACCAUCUGUCAUGGAUGCUUUAGUUGUGAUUCCUGUAUUGCAUGGGGUUGGACUAGAUGACCCUCAUGGUCCCUUCCAACUCUUUAAUAAUUCUAGGUGAUAAAUUGCACCAUAUCUUCUCCAGCAAUUUGAACACAAACAGCAGGGAACAGUUUGUUCCGAGGCCUGGAACUGCCUUGUUUCAUUACAAAACAGAGCAUACAUUAUUUCUGUUGCUUUUGCAACACCACAGAUAACUAUUUCCAGCUUUUUCUCAACAGCCCAGGUUGUCUUUCAUUCCAUCCAAAGGGUAGCAUUACAAAAGCCUUUGUCAUGUUGCAGAGGAAGUUAGAAGUGCUGUGGUGAGUGCAACAAGCAGAACAGAAGAACAGGUCCUGGUUAAAUAGCUUCAUAUCUCAGUGGUGGUAGAAAUUGGCAAGGAGGACAAUAUUGAUUUUUCAUUGGGUUGGACUUCUUGCCACCUACAAAGCAUUCUCACCUCUUCUCUCUUUUGCUGAACAAUUCAUUCUUCCACUGUAUAGUGUGAGCAGGUUGGUUCAAUGCUCGCCUGACGUUUAUAGAUGUUUGGACUCUUUUUCAAAAGCUGUAGUAUAAACUGUGAAGUAUGUCAUCUUUGAUUUUUUUCCCCAUAUAGGCGCUUCAGCAGGGUUUAUUGAAAAUAGCGAUCCCUGUCUCUGUUUUGACUGAAGGCAGAGGAAGACAUUUCUUUAUCUGCUGUCUCACUCUUCCUCCCUUAGGAGCCCACAACACACUAGGUAACUGUUUUCACCAGACAGCCCACGCUACUCCUGAACCAUAUGAACUGCUUCUUUCAGGGGAAACAGGAGUAAAGUGGUGCUAGAACCCCAAACUUCCAGUAGUUAAGUGCAAACCCUAUAGAAAUAGUGACUUGUCCAGCAGUCAAUGGUCACUGUGAACACACUCAAGUACUGUAGCAUGUUGCCCUCUUUCAAAUCCCUACUUGGCUAGGAAGCUUUAUGGGUAGCUAUGGAAAAAUUGCUAUUUUUCAUCCUAGCCUACCUCAUGGGAUGGUUGUGCAGCAAAAUGUCAAUGUGAACUUCUUGGAAGAAGAGAGGAUACCAUUUUUAAACAAAUGUAUUGGGUAUAUCUUUCUCCUGUGCAUGAUCUGAUUUUCAUACUAUUAAUGUUUAGUAUUGUAAUGCUUCAGAGCAUCCAAAGGGCUUCAUGUACAUUUUCUUGUGAUCCUUACAACAGUCAUGUGAGGCUGGAAAGUAUUAUCCUAUCUAAUUCUGAUUCUGAGAGAUGAGAUUCCAAGGGACUGCCUUGGAGGUUCAUACCUCAGCAUCUUAGCCAGAAUAUGACACCUGCAUGUUCCUCAUGCCCACAUUAAGCUGAUCCUGUCUACUGGCUCAUUGUAUGUUUCUAAAGAACUGCCUGUGUGCAAGGCUUGAAGGAGUGUAUGUGGAGCAAAAAUGUAUUCCAGAUUUGAGGUGCUAUGUCUCAUUAAAUCUCUUUUCUUUGUCUGAAUCAUACAGGGCACUGUUUUUAGGGAUGCCAUGUCAAUGUGUCUUUGUGGCCUGUGUGAGUUGUGCCGCAUGGGCCGUGAAGUGCACACCCGCUCUCUGACUAAAUAAGGAAAUGGAGGGGCAAAGGUGGGUCUUGAUGGAAAAGGAGCACUGGCAUAUUUUUCCCUCCAGGACAAAAAUUCUGUCGGAAUCCGACGAUCUCUAAGCACAUAUUUCAGUCAGAUGCCUAAAGGGAAUACAGUGGUACCUCUGGUUACGUACUUAAUUCGUUCCGGAAGUCCAUUCUUAACCUGAAACUGUUCUUAACCUGAAGCACCACUUUAGCUAAUGGGGCCUCCUGCUGCUGCCGCACCACUGGAGCACACUUUCUGUUCUCAUCCUGAAGCAAAGUUCUUAACCCAAGGUACUAUUUCUGGGUUAGCGGAGUCUGUAACCUGAAGCAUAUGUAACCUGAAGCGUAUGUAACCCAAGGUACCACUGUACAGUCAUACCUUGGAAGUCGAACAGAAUCCAUUCCGGAAGUCCGUUCGACUUCCAAAACGUUCAGAAACCAAAGCACGGCUUCUGAUUGGCUGCAGAAAACGCCACAGAACCCGCGUCAGACGUUCGGGUUCCAAAAGAACAUUCGAAAACCGGAAAACUCACUUCCGGGUUUCAAUCAUUCCGGAGCUGAUUUGUUCAGGAGCCAAGGCGUUUGAGAUCCAUGGAACAACUGUAUUUGAGUCCACUUGCAAUUGGUUAGUGCUGAAGCAGGGAAAUCACACUGUUUAAAUUCUGAUAGUGCUUAAAUUGCGAAACUUUGACUUUUGCCAUUUAGGAGGGAGAAAGGAGGAGAGACACAUGAUAGAUUUAUAAAAUUAUCCACACUGUGGAGAAAGUGGAUAGAAGUUUCUCUCUCUCUUUCACAUUUGCACAUUUGUAGCCUAAGCUCCAAGAGCCUGCCUGGACAUCGAGAAUCUGCGUCAGGGGCCGUGUUCAUGUCUUCACCUGCCAGAUCAAUUUCGCUGGUGGGUAUUAGAGACAGGGUCUUUUCAGUGAUAGCCCGCAAUUUGAGUAAAAGAACAAGGGAUGCAGGUGGCUAUGCAUUUGGAAGGAAACUUCAUUGAUUGAGGCAAGAAGGCGGAGCCAGGCCUGACUUUUGCACCCUGUCAGUUGUGUAUUUGUGUCACUAAAUGUGUUUAGCGUAUGAAACUGCCUGAAGAACGCGUGUGGGGACUGGGCUGCAAAUGGUAACGACUUUCUCCUUCCCAGGAGCCUUAGGGCUGCAACUAGAAGGGCUUAGCCACGCCCUUUCCCUCACAUGACGCUUCUAUUUUUUGAUUUUAAAGUUUUUUUAUUCAUUUUCACUUUUAGCAUUUGACAUCAUACACAAAUCAUAAUCAGUUUACAAAUAGGAUUCUCAGAAUCCCCGAACUUCCCUCCACCCCUCCAUGGUUUCCCCAGGUAUUCUUUUCAAACUGAAUUGUAUCAUAUUAUCCAUAUUUCUUAAAACUCACUUUUUAUCAUAAUUCUCGCUUCAUUGCAGUGUUUUUAAAAUCCUGCCAAUGUUUUCAAUUGUUUACAGUGCUCUUUCAAGUAACUUUUAAAAAUUCCCCAUUCUUUAGUAAAUUUAUGGUCCUCUUGAUCUCUGAUAUUCAUGGUCAUUUUUGCCAAUUCGCAUGAAGCUUCUAAAUGGGCGGGGUAUAAAUAAAUAAUUAUUAUAAUUAUUAUUACUAAAUCUUCCCCACUUUCCUUGUGUGUUUCAGAUCUGCGGGGCAAGAACUGGACACUGCAUCCUGAGCUGCGCAUGCGCCAAUAAAAAGCUCAU